UGAUAAUAAUAAUCUUUAAAUUCAUCAUGUCGUAAGGGAAAAUAAUGAUAUUACCUUACUAUGAGUGUCGUCCAAAGCUGGUGCCAGAAGACUCGGUAAGACCAGAGACGCAAACGUUAAUCAUCUUAAACAGGCGUAAAGGGUUUGUAGGCAGCUUUCAUAAUAUUAUUUCUUACAAAAAUAAAGAAGUGGUCUGAUUGAAAGCUAGAAUCAAAAAGAGGUUAUAGUGUAUAACGCCUAGAGGAGGGCUGAUAUCCUUAGAUCCUAGGCAGAAUACUUAGGGCGAAGGCCACUCUCCACUAAUGAUUGACGCUGAGAAACGAAGGUAAGGGUAGGAAAUAGGAUUAGAUACCCCGGUACUCCUUUCUGUAAACGAUGAAUGGUAGUCAUUAGUAAAAUUAAAAAUUACUAGAGACGAAGUUAACACAAUAACCAUUCCGCCUUGUGAGUACUACUGCAAAGUAGAAAACAAAAAAAUUAGUCGGUCUCGAAGCAAACGGAGUGAAGCAUGUUAUUUA
rnacentral:rRNA from 1 species